GCGAUCAUACCAGCACUAAUGCACCGGAUCCCAUCAGAACUCCGAAGUUAAGCGUGCUUGGGCGAGAGUAGUACUAGGAUGGGUGACCCCCUGGGAAGUCCUCGUGUUGCAUCCC
rnacentral:rRNA from 1 species